GGUGGUUCUCGGGUGAUGCACCCCGGAAUCAGGCUCCCUUCUCUCUGGUUCUGGGUGUGUCACCCAAGAACCACA
rfam:Myotis brandtii contig312484, whole genome shotgun sequence.